rnacentral:rRNA from 1 species
GUUAGGAAUAUUGGACAAUGGACGCAAGUCUGAUCCAGCCAUGCCGCGUGAGUGAUGAAGGCCUUCGGGUUGUAAAGCUCUUUAGCCGAUGAUUAUAAUGACUGUAGUCGGAAAAUAAGCCCCGGCUAACUUCGUGCCAGCAGCCGCGGUAAUACGAAGGGGGCGAGCGUUAUUCGGAAUCACUGGGCGUAAAGCGUGCGUAGGCGGUUUUGUAAGUUGGGAGUGAAAGCCCAGGGCUCAACCCUGGAAUUGCUCUCAAAACUACAAGACUUGAAUUCGGGAGAGGAUAGCGGAAUUGUCAGUGUAGCAGUGAAAUGCGUAGAUAUUGACAGGAACACCAGUGGCGUAAGCGGCUAUCUGGACCGACAUUGACGCUGAGGCACGAAAGCGUGGGGAUCAAACAGGAUUAGAAACCCUAGUAGUCC